CUACGGGGGGCAGCAGUGGGGAAUAUUGCACAAUGGGCGCAAGCCUGAUGCAGCCAUGCCGCGUGUAUGAAGAAGGCCUUCGGGUUGUAAAGUACUUUCAGCGGGGAGGAAGGGAGUAAAGUUAAUACCUUUGCUCAUUGACGUUACCCGCAGAAGAAGCACCGGCUAACUCCGUGCCAGCAGCCGCGGUAAUACGGAGGGUGCAAGCGUUAAUCGGAAUUACUGGGCGUAAAGCGCACGCAGGCGGUUUGUUAAGUCAGAUGUGAAAUCCCCGGGCUCAACCUGGGAACUGCAUCUGAUACUGGCAAGCUUGAGUAUCGUAGAGGUGGGUAGAAUUCCAGGUGUAGCGGUGAAAUGCGUAGAGAUCUGGAGGAAUACCGGUGGCGAAGGCGGCCCCCUGGACGAAGACUGACGCUCAGGUGCGAAAGCGUGGGGAGCAUACAGGAUUAGAUACCCCUGUAGUC
rnacentral:rRNA from 1 species